rnacentral:rRNA from 1 species
GAAGGAUCAUUAAAGAGAUAGGGUCCUCGAGGCCCGAACCUCCCACCCUUUGUGCACUUACCUUUGUUGCUUUGACGGACCGCGGGGUUCUGCAGACCCCCCGUUGACUUCGGUGGACGAGUUUCCGUCAGAGACCCCCUAAAUUCAGCUUAUUUUGUGAUGUCCGAGUCAUAACACAAUCGUUUUAAAACUUUCAACAACGGAUCUCUUGGUUCUGGCAUCGAUGAAGAACGCAGCGAAAUGCGAUAAGUAAUGUGAAUUGCAGAAUUCAGUGAAUCAUCGAAUCUUUGAACGCACAUUGCGCCCUCUGGUAUUCCGGGGGGCAUGCCUGUUCGAGCGUCAUUACACCUCUCAAGCACCGCUUGGUAUUGGGUGGUAGCCCCGUGGGGCUCACCUGAAAGUUAGCGGCGACGCGGUCGGUCUUCAAGCGUAGUAAAACUUAACGUUUCGCUUCUGGAGCCCGGGUGCGUUCGCCGGAUAACCCCUUAUUUUUUAAAUGGUUGACCUCNGAUCAGGUAGGGAUACCC